GCAGCACACAGUCAAGAAGGCUGCAUUCCUCCUGCCUCUUGCCCUUCUCUCCCCGUGUCUUCUUCUUCUGCUCCUCUCCUUCAGUCUCUACUCCCAUCCCCCCUCUCUGGCUGUCUCCUCCCUCUCUAUACCCUUCCCCCAGCUCUAUCCUGCUCUGUGCCUCCCUCAGUCUCAUCAGGCUAUAUGCAGCAAGGCACAAAUUCAUCGGGGGGAAGAGAUACAGCAAAGGAGAGCUGGAGAUAGUGAAGGGGGGUGGAACGAAGAGAUGGUUUGGACUGAAAGAGAGCAAAACAUGAAAGAAUGACAGACUAAUGGAGAAUGAAGGGGCGAGACAGAGAGAAAGUGAGAGAGUGAGGGGUGUGUUGGUGGGAGAGCAGCGAGGAGGAGGAGGAGGAGGAAGAAGAAGCUCGAUCUCGCUACAGCGAUGGGCGUUCCUCUCCCAGUUCCAGUGAGGUCAAAAGUUUACCGUGGUUUUAAUUUCACCUUUCCACAGCCAAUCAGAACACGUCUCCGGCUGCUGGGGGAACUUUGACCCACUCUGAGAAUUUGACUGUAAAGAUCUGAAGUUCGUCUCUGCUUCUUGUUUUUUCCUCUUUCUAACUUGUUUUUUUUAUUCCCACCUUUUUCUAAGCAGACGUCCCCCCCCCCCCCCCCUGCAUGUUUAUUUGUCCUUCAUGACAGAGGACAAAAACACAAAACCCAGUUGUUGUUGAUCUAAGGGGAUAGUGACAAGGGGGAUGAAAAAUAGGACGCUUUAUUUAUUUACUUAUUUUUGCAUUUCUGUACUUUUCCUCUGCUUUCCAGAACAGAUGCCACCUAGACGGGAUGUGGGUUGAAAUCCACAAGAUCAACAGGAUCUCCUCGGGUAUGAACAAUGGACGCCAGUGCACCGACACACGAGUCCACAGUCCAUGUUAGCGUCACUUUAUCAAAACAACAUACACAUAAAUACUCACAGAUCAAGUGCGGAGACAUGCCCCGCAGUGUGCUGAAUGAAACUCCCUGUUGUUCUUUUCUCCCCACAUCAACCGCACAACUGCCCCCACCCUCCUCCUCCUCCUCCUCCUCCAUCUACCUGACUGCGAUAAUAAGGCACACACACGAACACACAUCCUCAUGAGAGCAGCAGGCUGUGAAGAAUAUCACAAGAUGAAGUGUGGACGGAGCACACUACGAGAUGCGACGUGAUGUAUAGCCACCUUCCACCUGUAGCUGACUUUCUCUUCACAGAUGCUGCGUUUCCAUCUAUCUCUCCACCCAGAAAUAAAACAUGUCUGAUACAAUCAACUGCACUUGAAAAGGACAAGUCUGGUGAUAUCCUAUAUUGUUUCGUCCCGUCAAUAAAUGCCAUCAAACUAACAAUGAAUGUAUGAAGUGU
rnacentral:lncRNA from 1 species